rnacentral:rRNA from 1 species
GUGGGGAAUCUUGCGCAAUGGGCGAAAGCCUGACGCAGCCAUGCCGCGUGAAUGAUGAAGGUCUUAGGAUUGUAAAAUUCUUUCACCGGGGACGAUAAUGACGGUACCCGGAGAAGAAGCUCCGGCUAACUUCGUGCCAGCAGCCGCGGUAAUACGAAGGGGGCUAGCGUUGCUCGGAAUUACUGGGCGUAAAGGGCGCGUAGGCGGACAGCUUAGUCAGAGGUGAAAGCCCAGGGCUCAACCUUGGAAAUGCCGUUGAUACUGGCUGUCUUGAGUUUGGGAGAGGUGAGUGGAACUCCGAGUGUAGAGGUGAAAUUCGUAGAUAUUCGGAAGAACACCAGUGGCGAAGGCGACUCACUGGCCCAAUACUGACGCUGAGGCGCGAAAGCGUGGGGAGCAAACAGGAUUAGAUACCCUUGUAGUCC